GGGCAAACAAAUAUAUACAUAGGAAUAUAGAUAGAGAAAUUUUUAAAAUAUCUUUUUUAAAAACCACUUGCCUAGUAAAGUUGUAACUUUACUAAAAGCAACCUCAGAUAAUGUAGAUUUAAAUUCUGUCAAAUUAAAAUCUUAAGGAGUAGGGUCGGGCCACAUUUGGAUUCCAAUUUUACAAUUGUUUGAUGUUUAAUGUAGGUUAAUAUCCCAUAUAUAAGCAAUUGUUUAGGAUCUUUUUUAGAACUGCAAUGCUCAACAUGUGAUAAAGAUAUAAAAUCAUCCUAUUAGAAAAAGGACUUGCUUAUAAACAUAAGAAUAUCGAGAGUAAAAAAAUGGACUUUUAUUUAUACAGGGUAUGCAUGUAAACUACAUUAUCCAGAUAGUUUCCAUAUGAUUUCAUUAAGCUGAUUUUAUCAUACCUAUUGUUGCUCAGGUGAGCAAUGUGGCCCAUGGGUCUCUUGUUAUUGCAUAUAGUUACUACAUGUAUUUUGCUACAUUCGAAGAUUUAAGUGAUGUUGUGUAAGAUAAUCAAAACUGAUUUGCGUUUCUUAUAAUAAAUUGAACUAAAUUUUG
rnacentral:sRNA from 1 species